rnacentral:rRNA from 1 species
ACUCCUACGGGAGGCAGCAGUGGGAUAUGCACAAUGGCGCAAGCCUGAUGCAGCCAUGCCGCGUGUGUGAAGAAGGCCUUCGGGUUGUAAAAGCACUUUCAGUCGUGAGGAAGGUGGUGUUGUUAAUAGCAGCAUCAUUUGACGUUAGCGACAGAAGAAGCACCGGCUAACUCCGUGCCAGCAGCCGCGGUAAUACGGAGGGUGCGAGCGUUAAUCGGAAUUACUGGGCGUAAAGCGCAUGCAGGUGGUUUGUUAAGUCAGAUGUGAAAGCCCGGGGCUUAACCUCGGAAUUGCAUUUGAAACUGGCAGGCUAGAGUCUUGUAGAGGGGGGUAGAAUUUCAGGUGUAGCGGUGAAAUGCGUAGAGAUCUGAAGGAAUACCAGUGGCGAAGGCGGCCCCCUGGACAAAGACUGACGCUCAGAUGCGAAAGCGUGGGGAGCAAACAGGAUUAGAUACCCUGGUAGGUGACAAUAUUCCCCACUGCUGCCUCCCGUAGGAGUGUG